rnacentral:ncRNA from 2 species
CAGUGCAAUAUUAAAAGGGCAUU